UUGUGUGUAGGUGUCAAAGCUCAUGUGGACAACGAACUCCCAGAGUUUAUUGCUGAUAUUGUAGGGAGGUGACCAUGGUACUGAUGAUGAUAUGCCCAGAGAGAAUCCAGUAGCAUCUAAGGUCUCUGCUGGUGACAAGAAGACUGAUGUUGAGCUACCAUAUGGUGAGUCAGAUGAACUCGAAGUGAAUACAAAUGCCAAACAUCAACCAUCCUCAACUGUUGUACCUGGAGGCGGGCGUCCGGCAUCAACCAAGCAGGUGGUUGGUCCAAAUGAGAAUGGAAAGAAGAAGGCACGCCUGGCAUAGCUCCACCUCGAAAACACAAAUCCCCACUACAUUUUCUUCUGUUUUAAUGUCUUCCUUUUAUUUUCUUAUCGUGAAAAGCUUUUGCAACUCUUUUUCUAUGUUAUUUAAACUCAAUGUAGUGGUGGAUGUUUUGACUAUUAAAGAAAUUUAUUUACUAAA